UGCUACUUUUGCCGGCGAGCGGCGGACGGGUGAGUAAUGCCUGGGAAAUUGCCCAGUCGAGGGGGAUAACAGUUGGAAACGACUGCUAAUACCGCAUACGCCCUACGGGGGAAAGCAGGGGACCUUCGGGCCUUGCGCGAUUGGAUAUGCCCAGGUGGGAUUAGCUAGUUGGUGAGGUAAUGGCUCACCAAGGCGACGAUCCCUAGCUGGUCUGAGAGGAUGAUCAGCCACACUGGAACUGAGACACGGUCCAGACUCCUACGGGAGGCAGCAGUGGGGAAUAUUGCACAAUGGGGGAAACCCUGAUGCAGCCAUGCCGCGUGUGUGAAGAAGGCCUUCGGGUUGUAAAGCACUUUCAGCGAGGAGGAAAGGUCAGUAGCUAAUAUCUGCUGACUGUGACGUUACUCGCAGAAGAAGCACCGGCUAACUCCGUGCCAGCA
rnacentral:rRNA from 1 species